rnacentral:rRNA from 1 species
GGGUUGUGAGGUUAAGCGACUAAGCGUACACGGUGGAUGCCCUGGCAGUCAGAGGCGAUGAAGGACGUGCUAAUCUGCGAUAAGCGUCGGUAAGGUGAUAUGAACCGUUAUAACCGGCGAUUUCCGAAUGGGGAAACCCAGUGUGUUUCGACACACUAUCAUUAACUGAAUCCAUAGGUUAAUGAGGCGAACCGGGGGAACUGAAACAUCUAAGUACCCCGAGGAAAAGAAAUCAACCGAGAUUCCCCCAGUAGCGGCGAGCGAACGGGGAGCAGCCCAGAGCCUGAAUCAGUAUGUGUGUUAGUGGAAGCGUCUGGAAAGGCGCGCGAUACAGGGUGACAGCCCCGUACACAAAAAUGCACAUGCUGUGAGCUCGAUGAGUAGGGCGGGACACGUGGUAUCCUGUCUGAAUAUGGGGGGACCAUCCUCCAAGGCUAAAUACUCCUGACUGACCGAUAGUGAACCAGUACCGUGAGGGAAAGGCGAAAAGAACCCCGGCGAGGGGAGUGAAAAAGAACCUGAAACCGUGUACGUACAAGCAGUGGGAGCACAGAGCAAUCUGUGUGACUGCGUACCUUUUGUAUAAUGGGUCAGCGACUUAUAUUCUGUAGCAAGGUUAACCGAAUAGGGGAGCCGAAGGGAAACCGAGUCUUAACUGGGCGUUAAGUUGCAGGGUAUAGACCCGAAACCCGGUGAUCUAGCCAUGGGCAGGUUGAAGGUUGGGUAACACUAACUGGAGGACCGAACCGACUAAUGUUGAAAAAUUAGCGGAUGACUUGUGGCUGGGGGUGAAAGGCCAAUCAAACCGGGAGAUAGCUGGUUCUCCCCGAAAGCUAUUUAGGUAGCGCCUCGUGAAUUCAUCUCCGGGGGUAGAGCACUGUUUCGGCAAGGGGGUCAUCCCGACUUACCAACCCGAUGCAAACUGCGAAUACCGGAGAAUGUUAUCACGGGAGACACACGGCGGGUGCUAACGUCCGUCGUGAAGAGGGAAACAACCCAGACCGCCAGCUAAGGUCCCAAAGUCAUGGUUAAGUGGGAAACGAUGUGGGAAGGCCCAGACAGCCAGGAUGUUGGCUUAGAAGCAGCCAUCAUUUAAAGAAAGCGUAAUAGCUCACUGGUCGAGUCGGCCUGCGCGGAAGAUGUAACGGGGCUAAACCAUGCACCGAAGCUGCGGCAGCGACGCUGAUGCGUUGUUGGGUAGGGGAGCGUUCUGUAAGCCUGCGAAGGUGUGCUGUGAGGCAUGCUGGAGGUAUCAGAAGUGCGAAUGCUGACAUAAGUAACGAUAAAGCGGGUGAAAAGCCCGCUCGCCGGAAGACCAAGGGUUCCUGUCCAACGUUAAUCGGGGCAGGGUGAGUCGACCCCUAAGGCGAGGCCGAAAGGCGUAGUCGAUGGGAAACAGGUUAAUAUUCCUGUACUUGGUGUUACUGCGAAGGGGGGACGGAGAAGGCUAUGUUGGCCGGGCGACGGUUGUCCCGGUUUAAGCGUGUAGGCUGGU